rnacentral:rRNA from 1 species
CCAAUAGCGUAUAUUAGUGUUGUUGCGGUUAAAAAGCUCGUAGUUGAAUUUCGGGAUUGGGAUAUAUCGGUCAUGCCUUUAGGGACAUGAAUCGGUGUGUGAUCAAUUCUCACCUUCUGGUGAAUUGGGAUGCUCUUGGGUGUUUCGAUGAACUAGGACAUUUACUUUGAAAAAAUUAGAGUGUUUAAAGCGGGCAUUUUUGCUUGAAUACAUUAGCAUGGAAUAAUAAAAUAGUACGAUGGUUCUAUUUUGUUGGUUUUAGGACCACGUAAUGAUUAAUAGGGAUAGUUGGGGGCAUUAGUAUUCAAUUGUCAGAGGUGAAAUUCUUGGAUUUAUUGAGGACUAACUACUGCGAAAGCAUUUGCCAAGGAUGUUUUCAUUAAUCAAGAACGAAAGUUAGGGGAUCGAAGACGAUUUAUGCACGUCGUAGUCUUAACCAUAAACUAUGCCGACUAGGAAUCAGACAAAGUUAAUUUUUUAACGACUUGUUUGGUACCUUACG